rnacentral:rRNA from 3 species
ACGACCUCAGAGCAGGCGAGACUACCCGCUGAU